AGAGUUUGAUCCUGGCUCAGGACGAACGCUGGCGGCGUGCUUAAGACAUGCAAGUCGUACGAGAAAGUCUCUUCGGAGAUGAGUAAAGUGGCGCACGGGUGAGUAACGCGUGGGUAAUCUGCCCUUAGGUUUGGGAUAACCCCGGGAAACCGGAGCUAAUACCGAAUGAGACCACGAUGACUUCGGUCGAUGUGGGAAAAGGUGGCCUCUUCUUGAAAGCUAUCGCCAAAGGAUGAGCCCGCGUUUGAUUAGCUAGUUGGUGAGGUAAUGGCUCACCAAGGCGACGAUCAAUAGCUGGUCUGAGAGGAUGAUCAGCCACACUGGAACUGAGAUACGGUCCAGACUCCUACGGGAGGCAGCAGUCAGGAAUAUUGGGCAAUGGGCGAAAGCCUGACCCAGCAACGCCGCGUGAAGGAUGAAGGCCUUCGGGUCGUAAACUUCUGUCGAGAGGGAAGAAUGCGUACGGGUGAAUAAUCCGUGCGUUUGACGGUACCUCCAAAGGAAGCACCGGCUAACUCCGUGCCAGCAGCCGCGGUAAUACGGAGGGUGCAAGCGUUGUUCGGAUUCAUUGGGCGUAAAGCGAGUGUAGGCGGUUUGACAAGUCGGAUGUGAAAUCCCGGGGCCCAACCCCGGAACUGCAUCCGAUACUGUCUGGCUAGAGUCCCGGAGAGGGUGGCGGAAUUCCCGGUGUAGGGGUGAAAUCCGUAGAUAUCGGGAGGAACACCAGUGGCGAAGGCGGCCACCUGGACGGUGACUGACGCUGAGACUCGAAAGCGUGGGUAGCAAACAGGAUUAGAUAC
rnacentral:rRNA from 1 species